rnacentral:rRNA from 1 species
GUGCCAGCAGCCGCGGUAAGACGUAGGAGGCGAGCGUUAUCCGGAUUUACUGGGCGUAAAGCGCACGCAGGCGGCUUCGUUAGUCGGAUGUGAAAGCUCCUGGCUUAACCGGGAGAGGCCAUUCGAUACUGCGAGGCUUGAGGUUGGAAGAGGGGUGUGGAAUUCCCGGUGUAGUGGUGGAAUGCGUAGAUAUCGGGAGGAACACCUGUGGCGAAAGCGGCACCCUGGUCCACACCUGACGCUGAGGUGCGAAAGCGUGGGUAGCAAACAGGAUUAGAUACCCGCGUAGUCC